UACGGGGGGAGCAAGCGUUGUUCGGAUUUACUGGGCGUAAAGGGCGCGUAGGCGGUCGUGACAAGUCACUUGUGAAAUCUCCGGGCUUAACUCGGAACGGUCAAGUGAUACUGUCGGACUAGAGUGCAGAAGGGGCAACUGGAAUUCUCGGUGUAGCGGUGAAAUGCGUAGAUAUCGAGAGGAACGCCUGCGGCGAAGGCGGGUUGCUGGGCUGACACUGACGCUGAGGCGCGAAAGCGUGGGGAGCGAACAGG
rnacentral:rRNA from 1 species